GUUUUCUUCCACCUGAUGGCUACCAUCACAGCUGUUAAGAGUCCUGCUAUCACCGCAGACACAAGAACAAUCCACCAACUAGAACCUGGUAAAAGAUGACCCAUGUUAAAAAAAAAAUUUAAUAAAAAAUACAUCUAAAAGAUAUUCUCGGUUUAAAAUUAGAGGGAUACUGUGGAUUAAUUAUUCUGACAUUUUCUAAUAAUAUUAGUAAUAGUUCAUUUUCCUGUAGUAGGUAGGUUUUGCAUUAACCCGAAUUUAUAAAGUCCCAGAAAGGCAAAAAGCUGGUCAGAUGGACUCCUUGUUUUGCAUGAUUUUAGCAAUAUAACAACUUCCGCUUUACUACGGUAAAGUUAUGUUGGUGGAGGCUGUUGGUCGUCUAGAUCGGCCCAGUCUGCUGAUUUUUAUCUGGCUGUAUUUCACAAAAAAUGGCCACAAUAACUAUAGCAGAGGAGAGGAAUGUAGCAUCUUUCAUAACACAAAUUUUCAAGGAUUACUCCAAUCGAAAAGUGGGUAGAUGGGUCGUAGGUCAUGGGAUUUACUUCAAAACGACCUUAGUGCGGUAAGACACACAUUGUUAGGCUGAUAAAACGAUGAAAAACUUCAAAAACUAUCUUCCUGUAUGUGCAGGCUGCAUGCAGGCUGUUUUUGUGUGCUGUGUUUUUUCUGUGCAGGGUGUGACUGGCAGGUGCUGCUGCACAGGUGUAGCUCAUCUGAGAGCAAUCAGCUGGGCUUCUAAUGGAGUGGAAACCCAGAGGAAGGCAUCGGCUCGUUUUCUCACUUGGUAACAGCUAGACCUCUGCUUAUCUGCAGUCCUGCUUUGCUUUGCAGAUCGACCUUCUACUGAAGGAAGCUGUGGAAUCUUUCUGGUCUCCUGUUUCACUCGUGUCAUUUUCGGAGGAGUUUGGUAACUCCAGCCUCGACUCCCCAGCUCUGAGCCUCCAUUCUGCUUCCAACUCCAAACCCAGCUUCUCAGGAACCGCCUAAACCUAACCAUCAACCUGUCUGUCCACCCUCCAACAUUAUCUCUCCAACUUCUGUGGAAGAGACCUCAACCUCGGUAAAGUGACUGCAUCACCAACUUUAACACUGAAGAAAGUUCGUUCCUGCCCAGCUGUUCCUGCCAUGAAGAAGUGGAAGAUUAUAACCAAUAACUGGUUGCAAGAAGAUCGAGAUGGGUCUUUCUGCAUGGAGUUUGCAUGUUCUCCCCGUGCAUGCGUGGGUUCUCUCC